CCUACGGGGGGCUGCAGUGGGGAAUAUUGGACAAUGGGGGCAACCCUGAUCCAGCCAUGCCGCGUGUGUGAAGAAGGCCCUCGGGUUGUAAAGCACUUUCAGUGAGGAAGAACGCCUGGUGGUUAAUACCCAUCAGGAAAGACAUCACUCACAGAAGAAGCACCGGCUAACUCCGUGCCAGCAGCCGCGGUAAUACGGAGGGUGCGAGCGUUAAUCGGAAUUACUGGGCGUAAAGCGCGCGUAGGUGGCUUGAUAAGCCGGUUGUGAAAGCCCCGGGCUCAACCGGGGAACGGCAUCCGGAACUGUCAAGCUAGAGUGCAGGAGAGGAAGGUAGAAUUCCCGGUGUAGCGGUGAAAUGCGUAGAGAUCGGGAGGAAUACCAGUGGCGAAGGCGGCCUUCUGGACUGACACUGACACUGAGGUGCGAAAGCGUGGGUAGCAAACAGGAUUAGAUACCCUGGUAGUC
rnacentral:rRNA from 1 species